CCUACGGGAGGCAGCAGUGAGGAAUAUUGGUCAAUGGACGGAAGUCUGAACCAGCCAUGCCGCGUGCAGGAAGACGGCUCUAUGAGUUGUAAACUGCUUUUGUACAAGGGUAAACCUGAAUACGUGUAUUCAGCUGAAAGUACUGUACGAAUAAGGAUCGGCUAACUCCGUGCCAGCAGCCGCGGUAAUACGGAGGAUCCAAGCGUUAUCCGGAUUUAUUGGGUUUAAAGGGUGCGUAGGCGGAUUGAUAAGUUAGCGGUGAAAUGUCCGAGCUUAACUCGGGAACUGCCUCUAAUACUGUUGGUCUAGAGAGUAGAUGCGGUAGGCGGAAUGUAUGGUGUAGCGGUGAAAUGCUUAGAGAUCAUACAGAACACCGAUUGCGAAGGCAGCUUACCAAUCUAUAUCUGACGUUGAGGCACGAAAGCGUGGGGAGCAAACAGGAUUAGAUACCCCUGUAGUC
rnacentral:rRNA from 1 species